UUCAAUUUCAAAACCCAGGCUGGUGUACUGACAAGGGCCUUCAUUUUCUUUAAUCAAAUCAUAGCUUCAAAGACUCUGCAGGACGCUGCUAGCAUGUGAAAUUCAGAAGUCAGCAGCCAUGACUCUUCACGUCUGUACCCGUAUUGCCUGGUACAAGGGAUAUCACAUAGUAGGUACACAAUCCCUAAAGUGAAAGAACCCCAGUUCAUUCGUCUCGUGGAAUCUCCACGAAGAGGCACAUUUUCCCCCCAGGCAGCAGCCACGGCUGAACAUUCGUGAGAAGCAAGAUGUCUUAACUGUCUGGCCUGUCUCGAGAAACUUGUAUUCUUGAGAUGUAGAUCCAUCAGCUGCAUCAAUUCACUGAAGAGGAAGCCCCAAAGUGGAGGGUGUAUGGUGCCCUUUCUGUACCGUGGUCACUCAGAAGAAUGAGAUCAAGAUCAACUGUCAACCGGGGAAGCCAGCUUCCGAGAUCAAAGAACUAGAGCCACACCUGAGAUCUGUUCUACAGCUGAACCAAGGAUGCUGAAGUUCCAAGGUUCAUGGGGGUACAUGUGCAGCUUUGUGACAUGAUAAACUGCAUGCCUCAGGGGUUUGGUGUACA
rnacentral:lncRNA from 1 species